rnacentral:rRNA from 1 species
UACGUAGGGUGCGAGCGUUGUUCGGAAUUACUGGGCGUAAAGGGCGCGUAGGCGGGUUUUGUAAGUUGUCUGUGAAAAUCCCUGGGCUUAACCUAGGAAUGGCAGACAAUACUGCAGAUCUUUGAGUGUUGGAGAGGGUGGCGGAAUUCCAGGUGUAGAAGUGAAAAUUCGUAGAUAUCUGGAAGAACACUGGAGGCGAAGGCGGCUACCUGGCCAGGCACUGACGCUAAGGCGCGAAAAGCGUGGGG